UACAUGUGGGGCAAGCGUUGUUCGGAAUUACUGGGCAUAAAGGGUGCGUAGGCGGUUUGUUAAGUCACUGGUGAAAGUUUUCGGCCCAACCGGAAAAUUGCCUGUGAUAUUGGCGAACUUGAGUGCGUGAGGGGUGGGGGGAACGAGCAGUGUAGCGGUGAAAUGCGUAGAUAUUGCUCGGAAGGCCGGAGCCGAAGGGGCCCCACUGGUACGUAACUGACGCUGAGGCACGAAAGCGUGGGGAGCAAACAGG
rnacentral:rRNA from 1 species